UUUUCUUUAAAAAAAUAUCCUACAAAACAACACCAUUAAAUAAAAAUGUUUGAUGUGAUUUAAUAUUUUUUUUCUUAAAAUAGGGCCUCCUUAGCUCUUUCUUUUCCAUAUAGUAACAUUCUCUCUUCAUGUUGUUCAAUCUUUUAUUUCCUCCUAACUUUAUAGAGUUUUUGAGCUGAUGCUGAUCUUUGAAUACUUCUUCAAGUGAUAGUGGUGUAAGUGUAAAAUUUUGACCGUUCAUGUUAAAGAAAUAACGAUUCAUACAGCCAUCGUAAGUUGCACGCUUACCAUACUGUCAGGUUCUUCCCAGUAAGAUGUGACCAGCAUACAUGGGCACAAUAUCACAAUGUGUUUUAUUAGUGUAUCG
rnacentral:lncRNA from 1 species